rnacentral:rRNA from 1 species
GAUGAACGCUGGCGGCGUGCCUAAUACAUGCAAGUCGAGCGAACAGACGAGGAGCUUGCUCCUCUGACGUUAGCGGCGGACGGGUGAGUAACACGUGGAUAACCUACCUAUAAGACUGGGAUAACUUCGGGAAACCGGAGCUAAUACCGGAUAAUAUAUUGAACCGCAUGGUUCAAUAGUGAAAGACGGUUUUGCUGUCACUUAUAGAUGGAUCCGCGCCGCAUUAGCUAGUUGGUAAGGUAACGGCUUACCAAGGCAACGAUGCGUAGCCGACCUGAGAGGGUGAUCGGCCACACUGGAACUGAGACGCGGUCCAGACUCCGACGGGAGGCAGCAGUAGGGAAUCUUCCGCAAUGGGCGAAAGCCUGACGGAGCAACGCAGCGUGAGUGAUGAAGGGCUGCGGAUCGUAAAACGCUGUUAUUAGGGAAGAGCAAAUGUGUAAGUAACGAUGCACGUCUUGACGGUACCGAAUCAGAAAGCCACGGCUAACUACGU